rnacentral:rRNA from 1 species
UACGGUCAAAUCACGCUGAAAAACUCGGUUCUCAUUCGAUCACCGAAGUUAAGCAGCGUCUAGCCCGGUCAGUACUUAGAUGGGGGACAC